rnacentral:rRNA from 1 species
UCCUACGGGAGGCAGCAGUGAGGAAUAUUGGUCAAUGGUCGGGAGACUGGACCAGCCAAGCCGCGUGAGGGAUGAAGGUACAGAGUAUCGUAAACCUCUUUUGUCAGGGAACAAAGGCGGGGACGCGUCCCCGGAUGAGUGUACCUGAAGAAAAAGCAUCGGCUAACUCCGUGCCAGCAGCCGCGGUAAUACGGAGGAUGCGAGCGUUAUCCGGAUUUAUUGGGUUUAAAGGGUGCGCAGGCGGUCUGUUAAGUCAGCGGUCAAAGCCCGGGGCUCAACCCCGGCCCGCCGUUGAAACCGGCAGU